CUCUCCCCCCAGAACCCUUAUUCUCCCGAUUCUUUUCUCUCCCCAGAAUCCUCCCCCUGGCCUCUCCAGUCUCCACACUCUCAUAGUCGAAUCCCUAACAAAUCAAUCAUCAAAUCCCAUUAAUCUCUUUCUCUUUCACGUCGAUCGUCGACCAUCAACCUCUUUCCCGUCGAUUUGCUGAGUGUCGCCGCCGACCGUCUACUGUCCUCUUUCAGUGAUCUCUUCGGUUGGCUUAUUAAUUUGAGGUGGGUCUGUCCUCCUCAUUUUAAAUGUGAAGUUUCUAUUUUUUUUUAUUCUUGUGUGGUGUUGUAAAAUUAGGUUCAAUAUAUAAAUUUUAAGCUUUUUCUGUAGGGGUUUAGCAACUUCAGUGGUUGGUGAUUGAACUGUUUUAUGAUGCAUGUGAUUUUCAUUUUUAUUUUUAUUUUCUGACAACCAAUAAUGCUUAAACUUCUUUGAGAUUGAGAAGGUAUUUUAAUGGAUCAUGGAAUAUGGAUGCACCUUUUCUGUUGUGUUUAUGUGCAGCU
rnacentral:lncRNA from 1 species